rnacentral:rRNA from 1 species
GAUGAACGCUAGCGGCAGGCUUAACACAUGCAAGUCGUGGGGCAGCGCGGACUUCGGUCUGGCGGCGACCGGCAAACGGUGCGGAACACGUACGCAACCUCCCUCAGAGCGGGGAAUAGCCUCUCGAAAGAGAGAUUAAUACCCCAUAGUAUCUUGAAGACACAUGUCUAUGAGAUUAAAGCUUCGGCACUUUGAGAUGGGCGUGCGGCUGAUUAGGUAGUUGGUAGGGUAACGGCCUACCAAGCCGACGAUCAGUAGCUGAUGUGAGAGCAUGAUCAGCCACACGGGCACUGAGACACGGGCCCGACUCCUACGGGAGGCAGCAGUGAGGAAUAUUGGUCAAUGGAGGAAACUCUGAACCAGCCAUGCCGCGUGGAGGAUGAAGGUCCUCUGGAUUGUAAACUCCUUUUAUAAAAGAAGAAA